GCCUUAAUCCUGUGGCACAAUGGGUUAGUGCACCUGGCUGCUAACCAGAAGGUUGGUGGUUCAAGCCCACCCAGGGACA